rnacentral:lncRNA from 1 species
CAGGUGAUUCCUCAGACCCUGUUCAACUGUCCUGUGGGCCUGGACAAGAAAGCUGCUCAUCAUUGGAGGGUAGGCCUACCUGCUCAUCUUGAGAAGCACCAGAGAUCGACUUCUGUUUGCUGAAGACGACACGGAUUAACCCAUUGUGAGACAGUCCAGGAUGAAUAGAAAAUGAAGCAGCGCAGAUCAUAGGAGAAAUAUGGUGGUUCCUCAGACCCUGUUUGACUGUCCCGCAUGUCGGGACACCUGGCAUUGAGGUCAGCUCUGCAAUACUGAGCAGGGUGGAAAGCACCAGGAAGGGCAAAUGGUGCA